rnacentral:misc_RNA from 1 species
GAAAUGCGAUAAGUAGUGUGAAUUGCAGAAUUCAGUGAAUCAUCGAAUCUUUGAACGCACAUUGCGCCCCUUGGUAUUCCAUGGGGCAUGCCUGUUCGAGCGUCAUUUGUACCCUCAAGCUCUGCUUGGUGUUGGGUGUUUGUCCCGUCUCCGCGCGUGGACUCGCCCCAAAGUGAUUGGCAGCCGGCGUACUGGUCCCGGAGCGCAGCACAUGUCGCGCAAACUAGUGCCUUGGUACGGCGGCGUCCAUAAGCCCCUCUCUCACGCUCUUGACCUCGGAUCAGGUAGGGAUACCCGCUGAACUUAAGC